AGCGAACGCUGGCGGCAGGCCUAACACAUGCAAGUCGAACGAACUCUUCGGAGUUAGUGGCGGACGGGUGAGUAACACGUGGGAACGUGCCUUUUGGUUCGGAAUAACUCAGGGAAAUUGGGGUAAAAACCAAUGGGGCCUUCGGGGGAAAGAUUUAUCGCCAAUAGAGCGGCCCGCGUCUGAUUAGCUAGUUGGUGAGGUAACGGCUCACCAAGGCGACGAUCAGUAGCUGGUCUGAGAGGAUGACCAGCCACACUGGGACUGAGACACGGCCCAGACUCCUACGGGAGGCAGCAGUGGGGAAUCUUGCGCAAUGGGCGAAAGCCUGACGCAGCCAUGCCGCGUGAAUGAUGAAGGUCUUAGGAUUGUAAAAUUCUUUCACCGGGGACGAUAAUGACGGUACCCGGAGAAGAAGCCCCGGCUAACUUCGUG
rnacentral:rRNA from 1 species